rnacentral:rRNA from 1 species
ACGGAGCGACGCCGCGUGUGGGAAGAAAGGCCUUCGGGUCGUAAACCACUGUCGAAGGGGACUAUACUGAAGGUACCCUUGGAGGAAGCCCCGGCUAACUACGUGC